UACGUAGGGUGCAAGCGUUAUCCGGAAUUAUUGGGCGUAAAGAGCUCGUAGGCGGUUUGUCGCGUCUGCUGUGAAAACUGGAGGCUCAACCUCCAGCCUGCAGUGGGUACGGGCAGACUAGAGUGCGGGUAGGGGAGAUUGGAAUUCCUGGUGUAGCGGUGGAAUGCGCAGAUAUCAGGAGGAACACCGAUGGCGAAGGCAGAUCUCUGGGCCGUAACUGACGCUGAGGAGCGAAAGCGUGGGGAGCAAACGGG
rnacentral:rRNA from 1 species